rnacentral:tRNA from 1 species
GGAGUUAUAGUCAAUUAUGACAUUUGACUUGCACUCAAAAAGUGCUUCACUAAAGAAGCUAACUUC